GCCUGGGUGGCUCAGUCGGUUGAGCGUCUGACUUCGGCUCAGGUCAUGAUCUCCCGGCUUGUGGGUUCGAGCCCCGCAUCCGGCU
rnacentral:tRNA from 1 species